rnacentral:lncRNA from 10 species
UGAAGACUGGGUACUAAUGUGUUUUUUUUGUUGUUGUUGUUUUUUUUUUUUUUGGUAAAGUGCAUGGAUUCUCUUCCAUUCCAUUAGCAUCAGUGAUACUUUUAAUGGUAAGUAUGUUCAAGACAUAAUGGGAUCCUGAAAUUUUGAGUAAAAAUCUUCCUUCAGGCAAUUUCUCCGCUGCCCUUUAAAACUACCUUAGAGUUGUAGAAAGAACAUUAGGCUGGGUAUCAGGAGAAAAAUUAUUAUAGACCUGUUCUACCACUAUUCACUGUAAAAACCUGGACAGCAUGCCACUUAAUUUCAUCUGGCUUCACUCUGGUUUCGGAAUGUGAAAAGUAUACUGAAUCAUGUUAGUCACAUAUGUAUGUAUGUAUGUAUUUAUGUAUGUAUGGAAAUGUAGUAUGAGGGUUUUCUAGAAUGCAUAUGUUACUUCUUUUAGUAUAAAAUUUAUCACAAAAUUGAUAUGUUUAAUAUAUAGAAUAUGGUGAUGCCAAAUAAAAAUUAUCUGUAAUCCCAUUAUAGAGACAACCACUCUUUGUGGUAUAUCCUCCCAGACAUUUUGUCCCAUGGUAAAUACUAACUCUUAGAAUCUUUGACAAUUUAGUAUGCCCUGUGACCAUAUCUGCAUUUAAAAAAUCUCUUUUCUGCUCAUUGAAAUUACAUUCCAUUUUGGGAAACGACCUACAAGCAACCAGAGGAGUAUUUCUUUCAUUAUCAGUACUAGAGGCAUCAGCUAUUUUCAGUUUGAAAGACUCUGUGAGUUUGCAACAAAAAGAAAGAGAACACACUGAUGACUUCAGGGUAAGGGACAGGGAUUGUAUGGAUAGGGCUGUAAAUAAUAUUAAAGCUAGUGAAAUGACCUGGAUGGGACAGAAAGAUUUAUUUCAUAGUUUAUCUCAACACUCUUGGGAGAUAGACAGUGGAAUAUAGACUUAGUGUUCAAUUCCAUCCCUUUUUAUUGAGUCAGGGGAUGUUUAAAAAAAUUUAUUGAGCUCUUUGAAAGUCAGCAUUUUUAAUAAGUGGCACUGAGAAAAGAUUACACUGAAGAAGAUCCAGGUGACAAUACAGAACAUAAGACAUGAGGGAAUUUAUAACGGCUAAGCUAAUUGUGGUGGAGGACACUCAGGAAGGCAGACCCCAGGGAAUUAUCUGCUCAUCUUCCUGACUACUGCCUAUUCACCUGCCUCUCCCUCUUUAUUAAUGGCAAUUUCAGAGUUCUCGGGUCCUAUCUCCUGGAAAGAAGGUGCAGUGAAAAAGCCUUUGCUUUGUAAAGCAGUGCCAUUCCCACACCCAGUAAUCACUCCUAACAUAUAAAUAUAUCUCAGUAUAAAGCCUGGCAAGUUUCACAAACUUUGGAAACUAAGAGAAUCCCACAUUUUAGGGAAGCAUCUAGAAAAGCAAUAAAAAUAAUUGAAGAAAUGGAAAACUGAACCUAUGAAGAAAGAUUUAAUAAAGAAGUUGGCCGGAAUGACUGCAGCCUAAGAUUUAGAAUUAGAGACGGAUUCUAGGUUCAGGUCUCUGAGUAAUUCUGGGCUUCGGGAGUUAAGAAAUGUUGCAGGUUAGGUUCUGUGGAGUAGAUACUGUGAAGAAAUUUGGCAUCCUGGGUUUUUAGGAUGUUUAUACCUAUGAAAGGUAGUGGGAGGGAGCAGGAGUGAACAAGUUGAGAAAAACUACCAUGCAGAUAAACCACAUAUGGAGUUCUAGAGUAUAUAUGGCUCAUCAGCACAUUUCAUAUUGGACUCAGAUGGAUGGGCCUCUAUACCACCAUUACACUUAGUCAUUGGAUAGGAAGGAUAAGCCCAUGGGUACAACAGUUCUCUGUAGCCAAGACAAACCGUGAAGGGAGGUGACAACAGGAGGCUGUCUGCUCACAACAUUCCAUAUACGGUCCAACAAGUUCUACCUUUAAGAGGUUUCUGGGCAGCACAUCUCUCUGCCCACAGCAACAGGGAAAUGAGGGGGAAAAAUUAGAUGAAGGUUAAGGUUUCUAUAAUUCCUAACAACUUGUUGAUUUAAGAAUAAUGACAUAUAACAAAUUUCAUAACAAAUUGGGUCAUUUAAAGAAUUAAUCUUUGUUGCUGAAAGAAUAACUGCCAUAUGACAGAUAAAAAUAUUCCAGUCAUUGCUAUUAACUUGGGGACUAUGAUUCAAUUAGUGAUAAACACAUAUACACAUACACACACCUCAUCUGUGCACAUCAGGAAAUAAAUAAUAUGAUACUUCAUACUGGGAUUUGGAAGACAGCACACUAACUGCGUGUUUACCAUACACAGAAAGGACCAAAUCUAAGGCAUUGAGUUUAUUUUACAUAACGGCAUGAAAAACUCAAGUUGAAUUUAUGGAUGAUCUUCCUAACAACAUAUUUGAAUCAUUCUGGAUCAUCAAAAGAGGACGCUCAGUUAAAACCCAUAUGUUUAGAAUAUAUUUGGAAAAGAAUGAUACAAUAAGGUGAAGAGACGUAAAAAAGAUUGAUAAUGCUAAUAGCUACCAUUUAUUUGCCAUUUACUAUGUGUCUAAGACCGUGUUAAUCCAUUUACAUAUGUUAUUCUAUAUAACUCACAUAGCAACCUAUGAAGUAGCAAUUAUUAUCCCCACUUUACCUAUGAAGAAGCAGGACCGAGAUCAAACAGUAAGUGGUAGAGUGUGGAUACUUAUCCAGGUGCUCUGAUUCCAGAGCCUACAGUCUUAGCUACAUCCUAUACUGCUAUCACAUCAAAGAGGGAUUUGGAUUUGCUCUCUAUGACUUCAAGAAAUAAAAUGACAAAACUCCAGAAGGCCUUACACAAUCUUUUUGCUGCCUAUUUCUCCAACACUAUUUUAUAAUGCCUUCCACUUUGUUCACUUUGCUCCAGCUAUACUGGCUUGGAACAAAUAAAGUUCUUUCCACCUCAAGGCUUUUGUCUAUGCUGUUUACUCUGCCUGAAAUGUUCUUUUCCUCACUCUUCACCUGUCUAAUCUUUAUGCCACUUCUUCAAGUAAGCAUUCCCUGACCUACCUCCUCCAGACUAGUUUGGAUGUUCCUGGUAUAAGUGUUCAUGGUUCCCUUGACUCCUUCAAGGCAUAUAUAUAUAAUUUCAAUAUAUAUAUAUUCAAAAUGUAUUUGUUUGUUUUCUUAUUUAUUGUCUGUCUCCCUACAGUAAAUUAUGAAUUUCAUGACAGCAAGGAUCACAUCUGUUUUAUUCACUAUGUUUUUCUAUGCUAUUUGGUGCUUAACAUAGUAGGUGCUUGUUUGCUGGCUAGCCAGGUAGACAGCUGUGUGCUUGGAUGAAAAACUGUCACCAAUGAAUGCAAGUUACCAGAAGCCAGAGUUGAACUCUGAUAAAAUAGGCUAAUUUAGAAGGCACUAAACUUCUUUUCAUCAGAGAUGUUCAAACAAAAGAUGGAUAGCCACAAUAACAGAAUGUGACAGAUUACUUAAUAGCCACAAAUUUUCCCUAUCCUUGCAUGCAUUGUGACUUUUCCACUUCUCUCAUCAAGAGAUAGAAUCUGUUUCUCCAUCUUGAAGCUAGGCUUGGUCAUGCGAUUUGUUUUGCAAAGAGAUAUUAACAAACAUGACAAGUAGAGACUUACAAAGUAUGUGCACAUUGAAACUUGCCCUCUCUUGAAACACAGUCCCACCAUCUGAAGUUUGAAAUAACCUCUUUGAGAAUGAGAACCACUUGGGAAGGGAUGCAGCCAACAGUCAGUACUAGCCACAGGACAUAUGAAUGAGCCCAGAUUAGACAAUUACUCGAUGGUAGAGCCACCAAAUCACUGCAGUCACAUGAGUGAGCCCAGGUGAAUCCAGAAGAACUGCCUAGCUAAGCUUGGCCCAAAUUGGUGACCCACAGAAUCAUGAGCAAAACUGUGCUGGAUGUUUUAAGCCCUAUAUUUUUGGAAAGUUGGUUAGAUAGUAACAGCUGAAUUAGGGGAUGCUGUAGUGGGUCUUCUAGUAACAAGUAAAGGGGUUUACUAGGUGAUCUUAAAUGGCUCUUUUAAUCUUCAGAAUCUAUGAUUGUAAUUCACAUCUUUUUCAAACACUCAAAUGACAUUUGAAAUGGCUAACAAGUCCCUUUGUAUUAAAAAUGUACGAUAGAGGUUAUUCACCCAUUUGUUUGGAUUUACUAUACAUUUCCGAAUUAAAGAUGCAUUUCAGCAUUUGAUUUGUACUUAAAGCUCACAUUAUUUUAAAUACAUUCUCUAAAUCCUUCCUAGCAAGCAAAAUAACAUUUAUGCUAAAAUCUGCCUCAUGGCCUGUUCUAUGUCUUCAUGUACAGACUGCAGGAGGUAUAAUUCAUCUAUAAAAGGCAGCUGAAAUAUGCACUGCUUUGAAUUGUUUUAUUAUUGUGCACGAGGGACUGGAGGAGAAAAUUAACUGCCGUAUGCUGCCUCUUUCAAAGUAUCAGAUGGAUAAUAAUAAAAGAGAAAAUGUAUAAAAUCAUUUAAAGCCAUUUUAGGACCAUACGUUCAACUUCACUGACAAUAAUCAACUAAUAUAUUUCAGAAAAUAGAAGUGGUGAGAGUAUAAUCCUGCUCAUUAUAUUGGGUGUUAGACUUCAAAUAAUUUGAAAAUCUUAUGAAUAUAUAGCAAACGUAGUUUGUAACUAGCGAUAACUAGGCAUCUGAUAAAGAUGAAUUCCAUUACUCAUGGGGCAUGUUUCUCCUCUUUUUGCCAUAACUAAAGUCUUUCCUCCUUCAAAGGUCAGGCAACAAACCUGUAGUUUUCAGCAGAUCCUCCUAGAUAUACUACAAUUCAUCCAGAUUCCUCCCUCCCAUUAUGCCCACCCAAUUCUGUACUUGUCCCAUAGAUAUAUUAAUAGGUGGUGAUUAUUAUUUUCUUUAAAAAAAUCACCAUCACCAUAGGAUUUCUUUAAACAGCAGGAACCCCUAGUGAUACCUUUCUUAUUUUCCUUCCUCCUUCUCUCCAUUUUAAUGAUCUCAUUGUAUUGUUUGUGUUUAUUUGCAUGUCUGUUUUCCUAAAUAAAUAUGGAAUUCUCGAGGAUGUAUGAAUAAUGUUACUUGGGAUAUUAGAUCGAAAGAUGGUACAUAUUAGGUUCUGAAGAAAUUACCCGAAUGAAGGAAUAAAUGUAAACUACUAUGUUAAUUAGAUCAUUAUCUUUACAUUCAACAAAUACCACAUGAAAAGCAGUAGGAAUCUGUGGUAUUGCUUCUUCCAUUCUUAUUCUUUCCCACUGCGCCCCCAACCCCAUCUCAGCCAAGGCAUAAAUUUUAUUAGGGUGUGGAAGGCCGUGAGAACUGGAAGCUGUUCUGCCACUAUCAAAGGGGGCUCACCUGAUUUGGAAAAGUGAGCACUGGCAACACCCAUGCCCAACCGUGUUGUCAGUGGAAGUGAUCAUCUUGGACACAAGAUGUUGCUCUUGUUAAUUGCACUCUGCAAGUGGUAAGCAUCUGGACCUGCAUUUCAUUACAAAACUACCAAAACAGAAUUCUAUAUCCAGUGAAACUAUCCUUCAAAAAUGAAGGCUAAAUAAGGAUGUUCCCAGAUUAAUAAAGACUGAGAGAAUUUGCUGUUAGCAAAUCUACCUUCUAAGAAAUACUAAAGGAAGACCUUCAAUGCUGAAAGGAAAUGACACCAGAUCCAGAACUACGGGAAGAAAUGUAGAGCAACGGAAAAGGGCUGGGCCAUACAGUAUGUACUCAAGAUUUAGUAGUUAAUUGACUGAUUGAACUUUAUAGUACAGAUACAAUAUUACGGAAAUUCAGAGGAGAGAAAUUACUAACAACUUGAGCAGGUGGAAAAGCAUUGAAGCUUGGUAGAGAAGAUGGUGGAACUGUGCAGCAUUGAGACAUGUCCAGUUGGAGAGAUAUGAAGCUGGGUGAAAGUAGUACAAGAGGAGGCAACUGAAUGUACAACGGCAAAGAGAAAGAAGAAUCAGUGGAUGUGCAGAGGAAAGAGUGUGCAGGGAGAUCUUUAAAAAGCAUCUAUAACCCACUGAAUAAGAUGGGUUAGAAGAUGAAGCUGCUGAGAAGUGCUGCAAAGCUGAUGGUAUUGAUAUCAACACAGACAUCAUAUGCUUUUGGGGAACAGUGCACUCAGUUGACACUUAUUCCUAAUAAAUUCAAACAGUGGAGAGUUCUCUAACUUAUUUUUAAAGUCUCUUUAAUCUAUACUUCCUAUUGUUGAAUGAUACAAAUUAGUUUCUUGAUCUCUGUUCAGAUACUGGGUUACAUACAAUUUUUGGCCAUUUAAGUAUACUGUAAAUCCCUCCAGAAAACUUUCUUAUAUUGUCUUGUGCUUCACAGCUAGUUUUCAGGCAUAUGUACUGCUUACAAAUUAGUUUGGUAUUUAAAAAGGAGUUGUGGCUUGAGUUACAAAGAUUUAAAGUUAAAGCAAUGCUCUUAAUAAUUUCUAUUUUCUCACUGAAUCAAUUCACACUAGACACCCCUUUAACUUCCAUAUACAUGAUCACUCACCUUCUGUCCAAAAAUCUAUUUUAGGAAAGAGCAGAAGUACAAGAGGACCUUGUAAACAAUACUACUAAUAUUAGUAGGAAUACGGCAAGGUUUAAGAGUGACAACUUUAGCUUCACUACUUUCAAGCUGCUUACUAGCUGGGACAAGUUGUAUAAAUUCUCCGAGCCCAUUUUCCUCAUUUAAAAAAGGGGCCAUAGACAUUUUUCCAAAGACAUACAAAUGGCCAACAAGCACAUGAAAAGAUGCUCAAUAUAGUUAACCAUUAGGGAAAUAUAAAUAAAAAACACAAUUUCAACCACAAUAGUACUACAUACACAUUAGAAUAAUUAUGUUAAAAAUAAAAAAAUAACAAGUGCUUUCAAGAAUGUAGAGAAAUUGGAACCUCUGCAUUACUGAUAGGAAUGUAAAAUGGUACAGUCUCUUUGGAAAGCAGUCUGAUAGUUCCUCAAAAGGUUAGACAUAGAAUGACCGAAUGACCCAGCAAUUCUACUCCUAGGUAUACACAAGAGAAAUGGAAACAUAUGUCCACACAUAAAUUUGUACAUGAAUGCUCACAGCAGCAUUGUUCAUAAGAGCCACAGAAUACAAAUGAUCAAAAUGUCAGUCAACUAACUAAUGAAUAAAUAAAAUGUGGUCGAUUAUUAUUUAGCAAUGAAAAGGAGUGAAGUACUUAUACAUGCAAUAACAAUGACUGAACCUUGAUAACACUAUGCUAAAUGUAAGAAGCCUAUCACAAAAGACCACAUGUUACAUAUUUUAUUCAUAUUAAAUAUCCAGAAUAGGCAAAUCUAUAGUUACAGAUAGUUGAUUAAUAACUACCUAAAGCUGAGGAUGGGGUGAGGCUGAGGGACUGAGGAGUGACUGUCAAUGGGUACAGAGUUUCUUUCUGGGGUGUUGAAAAUGUUAUGAAAUUCUGGUGAUGCUUGCACAACAUCGUGAAUAGACCAAAAAUCAUUGAAAUGGAUGUUUUAAAUUGCCAAUUGUACGGUAUAUGACUAAUAUAAUAAUAAAACUGUUAAAAUGAGGCAAGUAGUUGGGUUUAUCACAAAGAGUUGCUGGGAAAAUUAAAUAAAAUAAGCUAUAUAA